GGGGGCGAUCGGCUUCGACGUGGGGACUGAAGGUUUAUCUGCGUGCGGCGGCUCCUGCUCCGCCUAUCAAGCGGGACGUUAUAAGUGCGAACGACAACGCCUACGCUCUCGCAGCCUAAGAAACUGUGAGACAUCCAGAGGGAAGAUCGUCCUGGUACCCCGAGGGUGUGAACUACGAGGGCUGGGUCGCGCGAGGGAGCCCUCGAUAGCGUGACCGAGAUUAGUGAGGGAUAGGUCGUGGCCGAAUCUACGAACGCGGUCGUCGGCGUUAUUGACGACUACGCACGUGAACGAAGGUAGGCUGGAUGCCUUGCGGACCCGGGUUCGAUUCCCGGCGCCUCCACCU
rnacentral:tmRNA from 1 species